CAGUAGCCGCGGUAAUACGUAGGGUGCGAGCGUUAAUCGGAAUUAUUGGGCGUAAAGCGUGCGCAGGCGGUUUUGUAAGACAGGCGUGAAAUCCCCGGGCUCAACCUGGGAAUGGCGCUUGUGACUGCAAAGCUAGAGUGCGGCAGAGGGGGAUGGAAUUCCGCGUGUAGCAGUGAAAUGCGUAGAUAUGCGGAGGAACACCGAUGGCGAAGGCAAUCCCCUGGGCCUGCACUGACGCUCAUGCACGAAAGCGUGGGGAGCAAACAGGAUUAGAUACCCCAGUAGUCCCUGUCUCUUAUAA
rnacentral:rRNA from 1 species